UACGAAGGGGGCUAGCGUUGUUCGGAAUUACUGGGCGUAAAGGGCGCGUAGGCGGCUCGACAAGUCCCGCGUGAAAGCCCCCGGCUCAACUGGGGAACUGCGCGGGAAACUGUCGGACUUGAGUUCGGGAGAGGGAAGCGGAAUUCCGGGUGUAGCGGUGAAAUGCGUAGAUAUCCGGAGGAACACCGGUGGCGAAGGCGGCUUCCUGGACCGACACUGACGCUGAGGCGCGAAAGCUAGGGGAGCAAACGGG
rnacentral:rRNA from 1 species